UUGGAGGGCAAGUCUGGUGCCAGCAGCCGCGGUAAUUCCAGCUCCAAUAGCGUAUAUUAAAGUUGUUGCAGUUAAAAAGCUCGUAGUUGAACCUUGGGCCUGGCUGGCCGGUCCGCCUCACCGCGUGCACUGGUUCGGCCGGGCCUUUCCCUCUGGGGGAGCCGCAUGCUCUUUAUUGAGUGUGUCGGGGAACCAGGACUUUUACNGUGAAAAAAUUGAGUGUUCAAAGCAGGCCUAUGCUCGAAUACAUUAGCAUGGAAUAA
rnacentral:rRNA from 1 species